rnacentral:sRNA from 1 species
AAAAAAGGAUGUUAGCCUAAAACCUUUGCAUCCUGCAAAAACGGCUAACUGACCUGCAUCGUGCAGG